GAUGAACGCUGGCGGCGUGCCUAAUACAUGCAAGUCGAGCGAACAGACGAGGAGCUUGCGCCUCUGACGUUAGCGGAGGACGGGUGAGUAACACGUGGAUAACCUACCUAUAAGACUGGGAAAACUUCGGGAAACCGGAGCUAAUACCGGAGAAUAUAUUGAACCGCAUGGUUCAAUAGUGAAAGACGGUUUUGCUGUCACUUAUAGAUGGAUCCGCGCCGCAUUAGCUAGUUGGUAAGGUAAAGGCUUACCAAGGCAACGAUGCGUAGCCGAACUCAGAGAGUGGUCGCCCGCCCUGGAGCUGAGACGCGGUCCAUGCUCCUACGGGAGGCCGCAGUAUCGAACCGUCCGCAGUGGUCGGAAGCCUGGCGGAGCAGCCCCGCGUGAGUUAUGAAGAUCUUCGGAUCGUAAAACCCUGUUAUUAGUUAAGAACAACUUUGUAAGUAACUAUGCACGUCGUGACGGUACCUGAUCAGAAAGCCCCGGCUAACUACGUG
rnacentral:rRNA from 1 species